GCCGAAGUGGUGGAACUGGUAGACGCGCUGGAUUCAAAAUCCAGUGAGGGCAACCUCGUGUCGGUUCGAUUCCGACCUUCGGCACCA
rnacentral:tRNA from 1 species